CUGAGGAUGCUGCUGGCUAAGAAUUAGGAGAUGUUUUCGAACAUUUAUGUGUCUAGAAGGAAAUCGAACUGGUAAAAGAUAGGCUUUUCAUGGGUGUUGAAAAAAAGAAAGGUGGUGGGCAUACCAUUGUCCACCCCCUGAAAAUUAUGAACAUGUACACUUCCCGGGUGGCUAGAGGCCUGCAAUUCCCUAACCCUCCCCCCUAGAAAGUACUCUACCUACCACCCUUACACUAAAA